GAAAACUGAGAAACCAAAAUGAAAUAUUUUUAUUUAAUAUAUAAUUAAUUUUACUGUUUCGUUGAUUCUCGAUGAAGUAUGAUUCGUGUUUACUCGAGAAGACAUUUUGAUAUCUACAUAAUUUUAAAAAAAUACAUAAAUUAAAUAUAAUCAAUCAUUAUAUUGCAAUAACUACUUUUAAUAUAAUACAUGCACAUCAAAAUAUUUUUACAUACCUUACUUGUAUUUAUUAACUUUAAAACAAAUACAAUUCUUUUUUUUUUCUUCUACUUCAAAAUUUUAAGGGGACCAAAGCUCCACCUUUCUUUUUAAAAUGUUGAAUGUCUCUCUUCUCUUCUCUUCUCU
rnacentral:lncRNA from 1 species